UGUGAGCUCGAUGAGUAGGGCGGGACACGUGGUAUCCUGUCUGAAUAUGGGGGGACCAUCCUCCAAGGCUAAAUACUCCUGACUGACCGAUAGUGAACCAGUACCGUGAGGGAAAGGCGAAAAGAACCCCGGCGAGGGGAGUGAAAAAGAACCUGAAACCGUGUACGUACAAGCAGUGGGAGCCUCUUUAUGGGGUGACUGCGUACCUUUUGUAUAAUGGGUCAGCGACUUAUAUUCUGUAGCAAGGUUAACCGAAUAGGGGAGCCGAAGGGAAACCGAGUCUUAACUGGGCGUUAAGUUGCAGGGUAUAGACCCGAAACCCGGUGAUCUAGCCAUGGGCAGGUUGAAGGUUGGGUAACACUAACUGGAGGACCGAACCGACUAAUGUUGAAAAAUUAGCGGAUGACUUGUGGCUGGGGGUGAAAGGCCAAUCAAACCGGGAGAUAGCUGGUUCUCCCCGAAAGCUAUUUAGGUAGCGCCUCGUGAAUUCAUCUCCGGGGGUAGAGCACUGUUUCGGCAAGGGGGUCAUCCCGACUUACCAACCCGAUGCAAACUGCGAAUACCGGAGAAUGUUAUCACGGGAGACACACGGCGGGUGCUAACGUCCGUCGUGAAGAGGGAAACAACCCAGACCGCCAGCUAAGGUCCCAAAGUCAUGGUUAAGUGGGAAACGAUGUGGGAAGGCCCAGACAGCCAGGAUGUUGGCUUAGAAGCAGCCAUCAUUUAAAGAAAGCGUAAUAGCUCACUGGUCGAGUCGGCCUGCGCGGAAGAUGUAACGGGGCUAAACCAUGCACCGAAGCUGCGGCAGCGACGCUUAUGCGUUGUUGGGUAGGGGAGCGUUCUGUAAGCCUGUGAAGGUGGCCUGUGAGGGUUGCUGGAGGUAUCAGAAGUGCGAAUGCUGACAUAAGUAACGAUAAAGCGGGUGAAAAGCCCGCUCGCCGGAAGACCAAGGGUUCCUGUCCAACGUUAAUCGGGGCAGGGUGAGUCGACCCCUAAGGCGAGGCCGAAAGGCGUAGUCGAUGGGAAACAGGUUAAUAUUCCUGUACUUGGUGUUACUGCGAAGGGGGGACGGAGAAGGCUAUGUUGGCCGGGCGACGGUUGUCCCGGUUUAAGCGUGUAGGCUGGUUUUCCAGGCAAAUCCGGAAAAUCAAGGCUGAGGCGUGAUGACGAGGCACUACGGUGCUGAAGCAACAAAUGCCCUGCUUCCAGGAAAAGCCUCUAAGCAUCAGGUAACAUCAAAUCGUACCCCAAACCGACACAGGUGGUCAGGUAGAGAAUACCAAGGCGCUUGAGAGAACUCGGGUGAAGGAACUAGGCAAAAUGGUGCCGUAACUUCGGGAGAAGGCACGCUGAUAUGUAGGUGAAGCGACUUGCUCGUGGAGCUGAAAUCAGUCGAAGAUACCAGCUGGCUGCAACUGUUUAUUAAAAACACAGCACUGUGCAAACACGAAAGUGGACGUAUACGGUGUGACGCCUGCCCGGUGCCGGAAGGUUAAUUGAUGGGGUCAGCCGCAAGGCGAAGCUCUUGAUCGAAGCCCCGGUAAACGGCGGCCGUAACUAUAACGGUCCUAAGGUAGCGAAAUUCCUUGUCGGGUAAGUUCCGACCUGCACGAAUGGCGUAAUGAUGGCCAGGCUGUCUCCACCCGAGACUCAGUGAAAUUGAACUCGCUGUGAAGAUGCAGUGUACCCGCGGCAAGACGGAAAGACCCCGUGAACCUUUACUAUAGCUUGACACUGAACAUUGAGCCUUGAUGUGUAGGAUAGGUGGGAGGCUUUGAAGCGUGGACGCCAGUCUGCGUGGAGCCGACCUUGAAAUACCACCCUUUAAUGUUUGAUGUUCUAACGUGGACCCGUGAUCCGGGUUGCGGACAGUGUCUGGUGGGUAGUUUGACUGGGGCGGUCUCCUCCUAAAGAGUAACGGAGGAGCACGAAGGUUGGCUAAUCCUGGUCGGACAUCAGGAGGUUAGUGCAAUGGCAUAAGCCAGCUUGACUGCGAGCGUGACGGCGCGAGCAGGUGCGAAAGCAGGUCAUAGUGAUCCGGUGGUUCUGAAUGGAAGGGCCAUCGCUCAACGGAUAAAAGGUACUCCGGGGAUAACAGGCUGAUACCGCCCAAGAGUUCAUAUCGACGGCGGUGUUUGGCACCUCGAUGUCGGCUCAUCACAUCCUGGGGCUGAAGUAGGUCCCAAGGGUAUGGCUGUUCGCCAUUUAAAGUGGUACGCGAGCUGGGUUUAGAACGUCGUGAGACAGUUCGGUCCCUAUCUGCCGUGGGCGCUGGAGAACUGAGGGGGGCUGCUCCUAGUACGAGAGGACCGGAGUGGACGCAUCACUGGUGUUCGGGUUGUCAUGCCAAUGGCACUGCCCGGUAGCUAAAUGCGGAAGAGAUAAGUGCUGAAAGCAUCUAAGCACGAAACUUGCCCCGAGAUGAGUUCUCCCUGACUCCUUGAGAGUCCUGAAGGAACGUUGAAGACGACGACGUUGAUAGGCCGGGUGUGUAAGCGCAGCGAUGCGUUGAGCUAACCGGUACUAAUGAACCGUGAGGCUUAACCUUACAACGCCGAAGGUGUUU
rnacentral:rRNA from 1 species